UUUAUUUUUUGUGGAGAAGGGGUCUCACUAUAUUCCCCCAAGCUGGUCUUGAACUCCUGGACUUAAGCAAUCCUCCCACCUCAGCUUCCCGAAGAGUUGGGAUUAAAGGCGUGAGCCCCCAUGUCCGGCCAACAAGACUUCCUCGUGACUAUAAUGUGAGCAUAAUAUUAAUAGCUCUGAGAGAGAGAAGUGAACCAGAAGACCAACCUCAGUGUCAGGAAGUCUGGGCGUCUGUCUUCUGCAUGGCUGAAGACAUGGGGCUUUGGGCAAGUCAUCUGUUCUCUUUGAACUUUGGCUUCCUCACUUCUGAAAUAGGAGGGUCAGAGAAGAUGUUUCUUUUUGCUGAAAAGUUUUACAGUUCUCUGAUCUAUACCCCUUGGUCACACACAACCAAAAAGUAGAAAACAUGAGUGCAAUACUUUCCCACCAGUACUCCCAGUUUAUACAUUAUCUUCUCAAACCAAUAAGGAACUUCUACAAGGCCCUGUUAGUGAUGUGUUACAGGUGCCAGCAUUAGGGAAACUUUCAGACUGUUAUAUCUAUUCGUUCCUUCAUCCAUGUAUACUUCUAUUCAUUCUGUAUGCAGAGUAAUUUAUAUAUGUACAAUUACAUGGCAGUGAAAGAUAAUCAGAAAAAUGAAGAUUUUUUUUUUUUUGAGACAGAGUCUUGCUCUGUUGCCCAGGCUGGAGUGCAGUGGUGUGAUCUUGGCUCACUGCAACCUCCGCCUCCCGGGUUCAAGGGAUUCUCAUGCCUCAUCCUCCCGAGUAGCUGGGACUACAGACAUGCGCCACCAUACCCAGCUAAUUUUUGUAUUUUUAGUAGAGAUGGGGUUUUGCCAUGUUGGCCAGGCCAUUCUCGACCUCCUGGCCUCAAGCGAUCCUCCUGCCUUGGCUUCCCAAAGUACCGGGAUUCCAGGCAUGAGCCACCAUGCCCAGCCAGAAGGUUUUUUUAAAAAAACAAAGACACUCCUGAACUAACAAUUACAAAGAGCUAGUGACAAUUUCCCAAAUAAUUAUGCAUAACAGGAGCCCAUAUAUUGUUCUCAAAUCAUAAACCAUAACUGAUUUUGAGGAAAAGACAUUCUGUCCCACUGAUAUUCUUUUCAUGAGUAAGAUCUGGAUCUGUCUGGAGGCACAAAAUUGAUUUUUGCAUGAGGAAUCCCAACCCUACCACCAUUCCAUGGCUGAGGAAUUGGUUAUUACUCCUAUGGGAAAUUGGCAAUGUUGUUGGUACCCCAGCUUUCUCUUAAGACAAAAUUUAACAAAUGCAUACAUGCUAAGAUGCAUAUACUCAUAAGGCUUUGUGGGUCUCCUUUCUAAGGGGAAUUUGAAUACUAACAAGAACAAAGACUAAAUACCAAAAGGGAGCUUUCUAAUGGUAGAAUUUGGGAUAUCAGGUAGCCACAUAGAGCAGGGCUACUUUGGGGGCUGGAGACUGCAGAAACCCUUCAGGUUUAUACGUGUGAGUAAACCUAAUCACACUUGAUGUAUUGCUAGUGAAGUCCCAGCCCCCUGAGCCUUUGCAGAAAUCCAAAGAAUGCUAAAAAGGGCAGGUUUUAGUUCCUGCCAAUUAUUUCAUUUAACUACAAAUGCCCCCAGUUCCGAAUUUACUUCCCUUCCCACCAGAAAUAUGUCAUUUUGGAGGCUUGUGAAAAUUAAGCAUUAAGAAAAUCCCGCCUCCAUCCUAAUACACUGCAUCCACAAGUCCCAAACAAAAUCACUUCCUUGGCUUACACACAUAACUACCUGUUUCUGUUUAGGUCUGUGACUCAGAAAGUGCCUGGAAGAAGUCAUGAGAGGGAGUCGAUCCCAUCUUACCUGCCAUAGGAAGAAUAGGGCCUGCUCAGUAGAGUUCAGUGUGUGUGUUGAAGGUGGUGGUUCUUAGUCCUUCCCUGAAUUCACUAAUUCGCAUUGCACUCACUCUUCCUGAUCAAUGAGUUAUUGCUGAGAAAUCAUUAUAGUAAGUAAUACAGGUGUCCCCAGUAAAGCCAUCCCUCUCCUCCAAACCUCCGCUGUCCCUUGGGUUUUGGCUCCAGGAUCCUUGCCCCAUGUCCCAAAGAAUCCCUACCGUGGGCCUCCCUCCUCCUCUUUUGUCAAUUGCACUUGACCUUUUCAGGAAAAAGAAAUCAAUUGAUACCUUAGUCCUAAUGUUUGACCCUUUUCUAUCUCAGAAUAGAGAAGUCCCCAUAUUUGUUCUUUUUUUACUCAAGUUUAAUAUAGACCACCUAGGCACAGAAGCUCCGUGCUAUAUUCUGUUGCCUAUAAUUGUCCUUCCAUCUAAUUGGGAAAAGGUUACUCUAUUGAACCAUCUGCUGAUUCCCUUACCUUUUCACUCUUUUGUCAGUAUUCCUUUACCAGUAAAUUCUUGGUUAUCUAGGUCCUGAAGUUUCAUUCAUGUUUUUUUUAAAAGCUUUAAUUUUUCUUAGGAAAACUGUUUCUCUCAUCUUAAAGCAGACUAUGAUCUUUUCUACUUUGUUAUACAAUCUGAACAUAAUGAACACUCUAAAGUCAGGCAUGGAUUUUAUAAAAGCAGGUCGUAUUAAGAUUUUUUUAAAAAAGAACCAGGAUUGAGGAAUCUGUAGCUAAUAAUUUAAUAAUUCACCAGCAUGUUUUGGGCUCCCACUUCAUGCUGGCCACUGGGCUAGGCACUGAGGGUGCAGAAGCAAACAAAUCAGCCUCCUGGCCCUCAGAUUUGCAUUCCAGUGAGUCCAUUCAUAAAACCUAACUCAAAGCCAGCAACACCCCCAAAAGGGCUGUUGGAAGCUUUGUAGCUCAUCUGUACAGCUGUCUUGGUUCCUGUACGGGAUCUUACUUUCUUGGGAAAAUAUGUUCUAAAUCCUGUUUCCUUUGGCCAUUAAAAAUCCAUGCUGUCCCUAAUCAAUAUAUAGUUAUGUGUGACCUUCUUAGAAUAAAAAAAAUGCUGCUGGACAGCCUUUGAAGGGAAAGGCAGAGAAAUCUGUUUUGAUGGCUUGAAAAUAAGUGAAAAGGUUUUUAGGGAAAGCUAACAAGCUUUCAAAGAUUUCAGAUCUGCCAGCAUUCAUUCAUUAAGGCAUGGGAUUAGGCCAAAAGAGCCUCCUACCAAGGGAGAGACAGGAACCAUGUAAGGAGAUCUGUGAGACCGCUGUGGAAGAGUAUUGAAAUAGAAGCCAGACCUGUAGACGUAUUUGUUAAUAUGUGUGCCAAGCCAAAGUACAGGAGGAGGCUUGGAGGCAUGGAGUUGUGGUGGAAGCAGGUUCUGGAAAGCAGAACUCUGAAGCUGGCUCAUUCUCACCAAGUCAUCUGGCCCAGCCUCCCGCCUCCAAGCACAUCCUGCCUGCAGAGGGUCUGGCUAGCUGCCUUUUCAGCUCUCGAGGGAUAGAGAUUCUACAACCUCCCUCUGUCAUCAGUUCCAGAGCCACUCCCCUUUGCACUAGAAGUUCUUGCUUUCAAAGAAUGAGGGUGUGAGGGAGGGAGGGGUCAAGAAACAGAGUGACAGGGGAAACAGGCAGAACAAGUCAGGGCAAAGGACCCCAGCAUGAAGAGUUGUGGAGGUGGAGGUGGGGAAGCAGCCUCACAUCUCACACUUCCUUCCUUCUCUUAAAUGUGAGCAGCUGACUCCAAGCCUUGUGGAAACUCUAGAAGGUAGAACCAGCCAUCUGGGGAAGCUGGCCUUACAGAUGCCCUGUCUGGCAUAGUGGAGGUUCCUGUGCUCUGAGAACGCAGUGUGAAUCUAGACAUCCACUGCAGCCUGGGAAGAGCUGUGUUUUCUUCAAAAGUCUUUAACUUUCACAGUCACCCCUCUAAAGAAAUGUUCUCUGAUUGAAGGCAUGCUUCUAUUCCUACUUUAUUUUGUUUCAUGCAUUCUGCCAGAGUAAUUACUUUUCAUACCAAUUCUUGGAUGCAGAGAAAUCUCUGGUAGUCUAAGGGGAUUUCGAUCCAAGUAAAGCUACUAUCUCCUAUUCCAUCCAGACUUUUCCGUCUGCCUCCAUUCUCUCAGUCACAUACCGAGAAGCAAGCCAGAAAGCCUGUCCAACCAAAAUCACUCUCCAAAGCCCAAGCACUUUAUUGUUCUCCCUGUCUGUUCUCGAGCCAAGGUGUAUUUGGCCUCAUUUUAUGCCAUUAGUUGUCUGGCUUUCAUGGCUCUGCACCACAUUACAGUCAGAGCAGGAAGGCCAGCAGUGGAGAUAGAAUUAUGGCAGAAACCCAGAGUAGAGGCCUCUGCUGGUGAGGGAGCCUGCAGCACUCUCCACGCUGGUGGGUCCUAGCAUGCCCAACAGACCCCCAUCCCUUCCCAUCAGCCUUGGGCCUUGAGUCUCAUUCCAACUCAUCCCCUCCCCUUUCCCUUCUUUCCAGUCCCAGGCGACACUUGAUGCCUCUGACUCCUUUGAAGAGGGCAUCAAGAAGUGAAAGAACAAAGUCCUUUUCUGUUCGGGAUCUGGGUCCAUCCUGGGAGAAGUUUUUGGCAGAAAUGGCUGCAGUGGAACCCUCUGACUGCCAGGGUGAAAUAGUGCUCCAGCAGGCUGUGGCAGACUCGCUGCCAGAAUGGGUCAGGACUGGCCCAGAGGACAGGGUCAUCUCUUGAGAGUCCUCCCAGCUCCAGGGCCUGAUUUUAAAGCAGUAACACAAGGAUAUAGGUUAUAUACAGGCUCCUGGAAGGCAGGUGCCGCAGCUCCUGUGACACCCCAUAUGCCUGAGCAAGCUUCUCCAGCACAAGAGAUGAUGCAAGUAUGAAUGGGUGCGGGGGGAGCUUAAAACCUGCCAACACUGAGACUUGAUGCCAGGGGCCGUGCACCCGCUCUGCCACCUGCUAGGUCUGUGCAAUGGUCAGAGCAGAGGUGUGUGAUGAGUUCAGCUCCCAAGCACAUCCACACUUAGGAAGUGUUCUGUGUGUUUUUAAAUAAUCCUUACCAUGUAAAGAUUGUAUUACAUUUGUAUACAAAAUUUUUUUGCAUUUUACUUUUGUAAUAUUUGGGGUUUUAUAGAUUUUUAUUUUAUGGCCAAGUAUACUUUUGUAAGGAAAUGUUGAAGUCUUGAGUAUUUUUAUUCUUUUAAAAAACUAUAGUUAGUGUCAACUGUGAGCACUGAUAAAUAUUAUUCAUGUGUGGUUUUCCUUCUUUUUAAUCCAGACUUUUUAAGAAACUGUUUUGGCAUAGAGCUUUACUUAAAAUGCUGCUUCAUUUUACACAUUGUGAAUACUGAAGAUUCUAAAAAAUAAAGAUGCAUUUAAAAUCUCUGUGCUGUUCCAUUGUAGAAAUGGUAAUGUGCAUUGCUUUGCCAAAGUGGUAAUUAAAUGUUUAAUGGUUUAGAACUCCUAGUUCACAACAGGGCUUCUCGUCAUCACUUGCAGCGUGCGAGCUUCCAAAUAAGCCGCCAUUUCUUUGGAAAACGCACGCACUUAGGCAUGGCGAUCUCCUGUUCCGUUAGGAAAUACGGUUAUGUUGACAUUAUGGUUACUGUGCUUGUGGUUUUGCAAUAAACAUGUAUUGAAAGCA
rnacentral:lncRNA from 1 species